rnacentral:rRNA from 1 species
AGAGCGAACGCUGGCGGCAGGCUUAACACAUGCAAGUCGAGCGGGCGUAGCAAUACGUCAGCGGCAGACGGGUGAGUAACGCGUGGGAACGUACCUUUUGGUUCGGAACAACACAGGGAAACUUGUGCUAAUACCGGAUAAGCCCUUACGGGGAAAGAUUUAUCGCCGAAAGAUCGGCCCGCGUCUGAUUAGCUAGUUGGUGAGGUAACGGCUCACCAAGGCGACGAUCAGUAGCUGGUCUGAGAGGAUGAUCAGCCACAUUGGGACUGAGACACGGCCCAAACUCCUACGGGAGGCAGCAGUGGGGAAUAUUGGACAAUGGGCGCAAGCCUGAUCCAGCCAUGCCGCGUGAGUGAUGAAGGCCCUAGGGUUGUAAAGCUCUUUUGUGCGGGUAAGAUAAUGACGGUACCGCAAGAAUAAGCCCCGGCUAACUUCGCGCCAGCAGCCGC